ensembl:lncRNA
ACAUAUACGUUUACUUUUUUUUUUUUUUUUUUUUAUUAAAUAAUUUAUAAUGUUAAAACAUUCGAAACGAUUCAUUGCAUUUUUAAUAUUUGUAACUAUAUUAAAAUGCACUAAACUAUUUGGAUUAAGUAAUAAAGAAAUAACAAACACUUAUAUAUGUGUGCAUUCGUACAUACACAUAUACAUACAAACCUAGACAAAACAAAGAAAAGUGUUUUUAUAUGUUGCUUAUUAUAUAAAAAAUUUAUAAAUUAAAAUUAUAAAAUGUAAAAUAAGCGUACGGAAUUUAUACCUUUUAUGUGUGUAUUUACAUGUUCGUAAUUAUUAUAAUAUGUCUAAAAAUGUGUAUUUUUUUUAUCACAUUUAUUUAUUUAUUUAUUCAUUUUUUUUUUUUUUUUUUUUUUUUUUCUGUUUUAUAGCUAUCCAAUCAUCAAAUGAUAAAAACGCUUACAUGGGAGAGUUAACGAAUCCAAUAAAAAAUAAUGAAAACUUUAAAGAGAAUGUAAUAAUCUAUUAAUUUUAUUAUAUGUUAUAAUAAAAAACAUAAACAAAGAAUUCAUUAUUUUUUUGUUUUAUUUUAUUUUUUUGUUUUAUUUUUUUUUAUUUUUUUUUUAUUAUUAUUUUUUUUUUAGGUUAUAAAUUAUAUUGAAAAAAUUGUAAAAGAUUAUAGUGAUGAUAUAAGUAUUAUAAAAAGUGAUAUACAUAAUAUUUUUUUAGAUAUCGAAGGAGCAUUUGAAAAAUUAUCUGAUGAUGUUGCAAAAACUUUAUCAGAUUAUGGUUACUCCAUUGAGGUAGAACUAAACCGUAUAGAAGGUGUUGUCGAAUUGUUUGUUGAAAAAAACAAAAAUCGAAUUUAUACUUCUACAAAAUUAGAAGAAAACAAUGACAAAAAAGGAAUUAAAAAAGAAUGUGAUUUAGCUCUAAAUAAACUAAAAGAUGUAGUAGAAUAUAUACGUCUUAAUAAAUUUUAUACAUUUUUAAAAUAUGGAGAAGGUGAUGUAAAAAAAGAAGCUUUAGAAUAUGUAAAAAAUAAUGAUAAUAUAAAUAAAGAACUAAAAGAUGAGUUAUUAAAGUAUGAAAAAAAUGAAGGAGAAAAUAAAAAUGUAUCUAAAUUAAUUAAUCAUGUGACUCCUAUAUUUAAUAAGGUUAUUGAAAAAUUAGUGGAAUUAAGAAGCGAGCUAUCAAAAGAUUUAAAUAAAGUGCUUGAAUGAGUAUACAUUAACUAGUAUGAUGAUAUAUAUAUGUAUAUAUAUAUGAAGUGUUUAUAUAUAUAUUUUUUAAACAAAAAAAUUAGACGUUUUUUACAAUAUUAAGUAUUUUUAAUUAUGCACAUGAAUUAAUAAAAAUAUUUUAUAUAUUCUUUUUUUAUGUAUU